GAUGAAGAACGUAGCGAAAUGCGAUACUUGGUGUGAAUUGCAGAAUCCCGUGAACCAUCGAGUCUUUGAACGCAAGUUGCGCCCGAAGCCACUAGGCCGAGGGCACGCCUGCCUGGGCGUCACACGUCGUUGCCCCCCCAUCUACUCCUUCGGGAUUGCGGGGGGCGGAUGAUGGCCUCCCGUGCGCCUCGUCGCGCGGUUGGCAUAAAUGCCAAGUCCUCGGCGACGCACGCCACGACAAUCGGUGGUUGCGAAACCUCGGUUGCCCGUCGUGUGCGGUCGUCGCGCAUCGAGGGCUCGAAAAAAUUGCCGGGCUCCGGCUCGGCUUUCAACGCGACCCCAGGUCAGGCGGGGUUACCCGCUGAAUUUAAGCAUAUCAAUAAGCGGAGGA
rnacentral:misc_RNA from 1 species